CCCUUAGAUGUUCUGGGCCGCACGCGCGCUACACUGAUGCAUUCAACGAGUCUAAAACCUGGUCUGAUAGGGCUGGGUAAUCUUUUGAAUGUGCAUCGUGAUUGGGAUAGAUGAUUGCAAUUCUUCAUCUUCAGCGAGGAAUGCCUAGUAAACGCAAGUCAUCAGCUUGCAUUGAUUACGUCCCUGCCCUUUGUACACACCGCCCGUCGCUCCUACCGAUUGAAUGUUCCGAUGAAUACCAUGGACUGAGAGUAUGAAUGGGUUCGCCUAUUUCUGCUUCUCGGGAAGUGGAGUAAAUCUUAACAUUUAGAGGAAGGAGAAGUCGUAACA
rnacentral:rRNA from 1 species